rnacentral:misc_RNA from 1 species
GAUGAAGAACGUAGCGAAAUGCGAUACUUGGUGUGAAUUGCAGAAUCCCGUGAACCAUCGAGUCUUUGAACGCAAGUUGCGCCCGAAGCCAUUAGGCCGAGGGCACGCCUGCCUGGGCGUCACACGUCGUUGCCCCCCCAUCUACUCCUUCGGGAUUGCGGGGGGCGGAUGAUGGCCUCCCGUGCGCCUCGUCGCGCGGUUGGCAUAAAUACCAAGUCCUCGGCGACGCACGCCACGACAAUCGGUGGUUGCGAAACCUCGGUUGCCCGUCGUGUGCGGUCGUCGCGCAUCGAGGGCUCGAAAAAAUUGCCGGGCUCCGGCUCGGCUUUCAACGCGACCCCAGGUCAGGCGGGGUUACCCGCUGAAUUUAAGCAUAUCAAUAAGCGGAGGG